AGCUCUUCAAGUGGUCGGGACUAUUAUUGGGCUUAAAGUGUCCGUAGCCGGUUUGGCAAGUCCCUGGUUAAAGCUGGAAGCUUAACUUUCAGUUCGCUAGGGAAACUACCUUACUAGAGGGCGGGAAAGGUGUGAGGUACUCCAGGGGUAGCGGUGAAAUGCGAUAAUCCUUGGGGGACCACCAGUGGCGAAGGCGUCAGACUGGAACGCGCCUGACGGUGAGGGACGAAAGCCAGGGGAGCGAACGG
rnacentral:rRNA from 1 species